UCAGAUUACUAAAGUUCCCACGAUAGUUCUCACGAGACACUAAGGUAAACUCACAGGCCACUACGUUCUUAUAACGAGUUUAAAUGUCUCAAUUUUUAACUUCAGCAGUACAUUUUACUCGUG